rnacentral:tRNA from 1 species
CCGGAAGGUGCGGCUGGAUCACCUCCUUUCUAGGGAGAUCCGAGUCAGGACCAUUACGGUGCGGUCCUGGCGUUGAUGGCUCCCAGGUUGAUCGCCCCGAUCGUUCGCAUCUCUAGCCAUGUGAGGUGCGCCGGCGCAAGCCGGAGGUCGGAUCGCGACAUGGUGAGACACCGUAACCGGGCAUGGUCGAGUGCCCUGUUCCUGCCACUCUUCAAGGGUUAUGGUGCGGCUGUGCCCUGCCUGACCGGGAAUGCCGGCCAACCAGGGCGCAUAGCUCAGCUGGUUAGAGCGCGGCCCUGAUAAGGCCGAGGUCCCUGGUUCGAGUCCAGGUGCGCCCACCACUUCGCGCACUGUGCGCAGAGUACGGGGACGUAGCUCAGCUGGCAGAGCAUCUCCUUUGCAAGGAGAGGGUCAGGAGUUCGAGUCUCCUCGUCUCCACCACCUUCCUCCUGGAGGCCAUCUUCUGAUCCAGGUCACCACCUAACGACAAGCGAAUAGCUCGGGCCCACCCGAGACCCCGGAACCACCGCGACUCCUAUCGACGGUUCGCAGGCACGGUCCUCGAGCCGUCCUUGUGUGUCCGGACCCCGGUCCGAUCCCCUGAUCCGCGCGCUCGAUCUUCGAGCUCACCGACCAGCGGAAUGCUGGGACGGCGAGGAGCCUGGCUCCCCGUCGCCGAACCGCCCUCGGGCGGUGCACCUUAACAACUGGAUAGAUGACGGCAGUAAAGACGAUCGAAGUCGUCGACCGCAGAGGUCGGCGGCGAAGUUCGGCUACCGCGAGGUAGCCGGCAACAAGAUCGCAAUUUCGCCGUGAACAGAUCAGGAGAACCCCGAUCACGAUCCCGUCCCGCACUGACCGCCU